GGCCCAAUGGUCUAGUGGCAAGAUACUUGCUUUGGGUGCAAGGGAUCCCGGGUUCGAAUCCCGGUUGGGCCC
rnacentral:tRNA from 1 species